rnacentral:rRNA from 1 species
CACGUAGGGUGCGAGCGUUGUCCGGAAUUAUUGGGCGUAAAGAGCUCGUAGGCGGUGUGUCGCGUCGGCCGUGAAAACCUGCAGCUUAACUGUGGGCUUGCGGUCGAUACGGGCAUCACUGGAGUUCGGCAGGGGAGACUGGAAUUCCUGGUGUAGCGGUGAAAUGCGCAGAUAUCAGGAGGAACACCGGUGGCGAAGGCGGCAUCCUGGACCGGCAUUGACGCUGAGGAGCGAAAGCUAGGGGAGCAAACGGG